GAAUCGUAGUUCACCCUCCUCGGCUCCGGGGAGGAUCCGGAAGCUAAACCAUUGAGGAUUUAGACCCCAAAACUUCUGUCCUGGAGACAAGUACUCAAGUGCAUGUAAUACAUUCUGGAAAGAUAGGAGUAAGGGACUACAGAACUGAGACAGGGAAUGGAAAGCAGCAAACAAAGAAUGCAUUAUCAAGCUCCUGAGACAGCUUCUUGGUUCUACUUCAGUCGCCCUGGAGACCUUCACCACAACAACCUGUUCACGUUUCUGCAUUUGAGUGAAUGGAAACACUUGUACAGGCUCCAGGC
ensembl:lncRNA